rnacentral:rRNA from 1 species
AUUGAACGCUGGCGGAGUGCUUUACACAUGCAAGUCGAACGGCAGCACGGACUUCGGUCUGGUGGCGAGUGGCGAACGGGUGGGUAAUGUAUCGGAACGUGCCCAGUCGUGGGGGAUAACGUAGUGAAAAUUACGCUAAUACCGCAUACGAUCUCUGGAUGAAAGCGGGGGAUCGCAAGACCUCGCGCGAUUGGAGCGGCCGAUAUCAGAUUAGGUAGUUGGUGGGGUAAAGGCCCACCAAGCCAACGAUCUGUAGCUGGUCUGAGAGGACGACCAGCCACGCUGGAGCUGAGACACGGUCCAGACUCCUACGGGAGGCAGCAGUGGGGAAUAUUGGACAAUGGGCGAGAGCCUGAUCCAGCCAUUCCGCGUGCAGGAUGAAGGCCCUCGGGUUGUAAACUGCUUUUGUACAGAACGAAAAGGUUUCUACUAAUACUAGGAGCUCAUGACGGUACUGGAAGAAUAAGCACCGGCUAACUACGUGCCAGCCGCCGCAGGAA